ensembl:lncRNA serine-rich adhesin for platelets-like
AUGGCGGCGCCCAUAGCCCUCCACUUCCGCCUCUUACCCUCCACUUCCGCCUCGUACCCUCCACUUCCGCCCCCCACCCCUCCCAAGAUGGCGGCGGCCGUAGCCUUCCACUUCCGCCUCGUAACCUCCACUUCCGGCUCAUACUCUCCACUUCCGCCUUUCACCCCCUCCACUUCCGCCUCUUGCUCUUCCCCUUCCGCUUCCGGUCCGUCCCCUUCCGCCCCCUCCCCUCAAUCCAAGAUGGCGGCGGGCGGUUCCCCGUCUGUUCCCGUUCCCCCCCGGGGCCGUUUCCCGGGUCGCCCCCCCCGCGCUCCGUCCCGUUCUUGUUUCCGGUUCCGGGUUCCUCUCGGUACCGUCCCGGUUCACGUUUCCGGUUCCGGUUCGGAUCCGACUCUUCGGGUUGUGCUCGGGAUCGCGGCGGGAUUCGGGCGGUUCCGGGACGCGAUGAGGAGAGAGAACGGGAAGGCUCCAAUUUGGGGUUUCCUGCCCGACGAGAUGGCGGCACAAAGGAGGUCAAGGAGAGGUUCGGCCCCCUCCGCAAACUCCCCGACAGCCCCCUUAGAUGACACGGCUGACAGCAGUGACAGCAGCACUGACAGCACAGAUGAGAGCCCCACAACCAGCGACCUACAGCUGCAGGGACAACGCAUGCGGGCCAGCACCAGAGCCAGUACCAGAGCCAGCACCAUGGCCAGCUCCAGGAUCAGCACCACGGACAGCUCCAGGAUCAGCACCACGGACAGCUCCAGGAUCAGCACCACGGACAGCUCCAGGAUCAGCACCACGGACAGCUCCAGGAUCAGCGCCAGGGUCAGCAACAGAGUCAGUGCCAAGAUCAGCGCCAGGGGCCGUACCAGAGCCAGCUCCAGGGUCAGCACCAGGUUCAGCACCAGGGAUAGCUCCAGAACCAGCACCACGGACAGCUCCAGGGCCAGGACCAAUUUAAUGGACAGCAUCAAUGUCAGCACCACGGACAGCGCCAUUACCAGCACCAUGGACAGCACCAGAAUCAGCACCAGGGGCAGUUUGAGGACUAGUGCCAGGAUCAGCACCAUGGACAGUGCCACGUCUAGAACCAUGGGCAGCCCCAUAGUCGGACACACUGACAGCUCUGGGAUCAGCACCACGGACAGCUCCGGGAUCAGCACCACGGACAGCUCCAAAUCCAGCAUCACGGAUAGCUCCGGGUUCAGCACCACGGACAGCUCCGGGAUCAGCACCACUGACAGCUCCAAAGUCAGCACCACGGACAGCUCUGGUAUCAGCACCAUGGACAACUUCAAAUCCAGCACCACGGACAGCUCCAGGAUCAGCACCAUGGACAGCGCCAUGUCUCCCAAUAGGGCCAACAGUCCAGCUAUGACCAUCAAUAGGGCCACCAGUAGGGCCAGGGUUAUCAAUAGGGUCCCCUGUAGGGUCAGUAGUAGGGUCAGGGCCAGCAGUGGGGCCAGCAGCAGCAGCAGGGCCGUGGCGGUGCCUCAUUCGGGGCGGCGGCGCAUCCCGGUGCUGCGGCGGCUGCGUCAGUUUGUGAUGCCGUUGGUCAGCGCUCGGUCCUCCCGCCCCAUCCGCCCCCCCAGGCGCUUUGUGGCCUAUGGGGACAACGAAGGGGGGAAUAAUGAGAGCUCUGAGGCCGUGGGGGGCAAUGGGGCGGCCUAUAGGGAUGGGGUGGGGGUGCUUAGGGACAGUGCGAUGGCCAUUGGGGGCAAUGGGGACAGUGGGACGGAUGGGGGGGACAAUGGGAUGGUGGGUGGGUUUGGGGGCGGCCGGGUGGGGCUGGGUGACAACGUGACCCACAUUGGGGGCAGCAUAGACAGGGACAGGGGCUGCUGGGUGCUGCUUGGGGACAAGGUGACGCUCAAUGGGGCCAUUGGGGACAAUGGGACGGUGGUUGGGGACAAUAGGACCAUCAUUGGGGACAAUGGGACGGUGGUUGGGGACGGCCCCGAGGCCAUUGGGGACAAUGGGACGCUCAAUGGGGCCAUUGGGGACAAUGGGAUGGCGGUUGGGGACAAUAGGAUCGUCAUUGGGGACAAUGGGAUGGUGGUUGGGGACGGCCCCAAGGCCAUUGGGGACAAUGGGACGGCGGUUGGGGACAAUAGGACCAUCAUUGGGGACAAUAGGAUGGUCAUUGGGGACAAUAGGACGGGCAUUGGGGACAAUGGGACAGCCAUUGGGGACAAUAGGAUCGUCAUUGGGGUCAAUAGGACGGUCACUGGGGACAAUAGGAUCGUCAUUGGGGACAAUAGGACGGGCAUUGGGGACAAUGGGAUUGUCAUUAGGGACAAUGGGACGGGCAUUAGGGACAAUGGGAUACCCAUUAAGGACAAUGGGAUGCCCAUUAAGGAUUAUGGGAUGUCUAUUGGGGUCGUUGUGGCUGGCAGCGCUGAGGGCUCAGCUGUGAGUGACCCGCGGGACGGGCGAAGCGGGGACAGCAGCCAAGCACACACUAGGUAACAGCGGGACCCAUAGAGUCACCCCCAUAACCCCAUAGAGAGU